rnacentral:piRNA from 1 species
UGGGAACACGGUUUUUGCCUAAAGUGCCU